CUGUUGUUUGAGCACACUCAGAUGUUUUUACUAAAGUGUUUUAGUUUCUUACCUGAAACUACAGGAGAGCAGAGGAGGCAGGACAAGGAGGAAGGCUGGGAUGCACCAGGAGUUUUCCCACGGGGAGGUCAGGAGACUGUCACUUGUCCCAAAUUGACACUGGAUAUCUGAAAAAUAAGUGAAUAUUCGAGUUAAACUGUUUUUGCAUAGGACAAAUAAAAUGUACUAGUCAACAAACUCAGCGCUUAUACAACACAUUUAAAAUGGUGCAGCCACCCUAGAAACAGCCUGGCAGCUCUAGAAGGUCAGACUAGAAUUGCCAUGACCAGCUACGUCCCCAAGAAGAAAUGCAGGCGUACACUCAGGAGCGAUCUAGGACGCACACUCACUCGAUGAGCAGACCAGGGGUGCCGCAGGCGGUGCUCGAGCCCAAGAACCUGCGCGGAGCUGGUCAUGAGCAUGCGCACACGCGCUCCUCCAGGUGCGUGAAACAUGAAGCGCCUGGACGCGCAGCUUCCUGCCCAGAGGCCUGAAGCUGGAGGAGGAGAGCCAGAGUGGUUUCCUUCGGGAGUAGGGAAGCGUUCUGAAGCUGGUGGUGGCCAUGGCUGCACAGAUCUGAGUUACUGAGGAAGUUACUGAGUCGUGCACUCCACACGGCUGCACUGUGGCACGUGAUGAACUACAUUCCCAGAGAGCGUUGCGGCAGCACUAACCUGGCUGACAAGGGCGUGCAGAUUCCUGGAGGUAAAGGUCACGCACCUGCUCUGUUUAUCCACGCUCUGGUGAGAGUCCCGGACUGGCCGGGUGAAGGCACACGCAGCAGCUCGGGGCCAGCUGUGGCCAGCACGGGGCCCUCGGGUGCAGCCCACGUUCCUGGGGAGCCAGGCCCUGCUCCCCGGAGCCAUGGAGAGCCCGCUCUGCAGCACCAGCAGUGGAACAGCUUUGGGGAGAGCAGCAGAGAGGCUGAUGGGGACACCGAACUUUCCGUGUUUUCCAGCUUCCCUCCCUCUUGCUCCAAAACGGAACCACUUCUCAGAGCUCCAGCGCAAGCUGGAUUUAACAGUCCUGACUAAUGUAGUGGGCCUUGUUGGAUAUGAGGGUCACGUGAAGUGUUUGGUCUGUGGUUCGAAGGAAGGCCUAGAGCUCGGCCUACAAGCAGCAGAGGAGCACAUUCAUGCACGUGGCCCCAGAUAUGCACGUCAGAUUUCUUUUGCACCCUAGAGAUGCUGCACACACUUUUCGGUGUUUCCUAAAUUUCUAUUUGAUUUUCCUGCUCCUGGUUUCCCUGAUGUAUGAUAGAGGUCUUCAUG
rnacentral:lncRNA from 1 species